AUUGAACGCUGGCGGCAGGCUUAACACAUGCAAGUCGAACGAGUGGCGGACGGGAUAGUAAUGCUUGUGACUCUAGCUUAUGGAGGGGGAUCACUACGGGACACUGUAGCUACUACCGCGUACCUUAGGAUGAGCCCAAGUGGGAUUAGGUAGUUGGUGAGGUAAAGGCUGACAAAGCCGACGAUCUCUCGCUGGUCUGAGAGGAUGACCAGUCACACUGGGACUGAGACACGGCCCAGACUCCUACGGGAGGCAGCAGUGGGGAAUAUUGGGCAAUGGGGGAAAGCUGACGCAGCCAUGCCGCGUGAAUGAAGAAGGCCUUCGGGUUGUAAAGUACUUUAGGUAGCGAGGCGUUAACUACAGAAGAAGCACCGGCUAACUCCGUGCCAGCAGCCGCGGUAAUAC
rnacentral:rRNA from 1 species